rnacentral:rRNA from 1 species
UGAAUCAUCGAAUCUUUGAACGCACCUUGCGCUCCUUGGUAUUCCGAGGAGCAUGCCUGUUUGAGUGUCAUUAAAUUCUCAAUCCCUUAUGAUUUAUUUCAUAUUGGACUUGGAUCUGGGAGCGUGCAGGCUUCUCUUUUGAAGUCUGCUCUCCUUAAAUGCAUUAGUCGGACUUGUUGCUGACGGCGUUGGCGUGAUAAUUAUCUACGCCUUUGUCUCGCUCUUUGUGGUCCCGCUUCUAACCGUCCAUUCACUUGGACAGUAUCUUAAUUUGACCUCAAAUCAGGUAGGACUACCCGCUGAACUUAA